CCACUGCCACUCAUCUCAUCCGGUUUGAAGAUCAGUACCAACCACCGCCGACGAAGGCAGUCCUAAAACGUUUAAACCCUAAAAUCAAACCUCUCGAAAUACGGUGAGCAAAGAAGUUGUCAAGGUUUAUGUUAAACCUAAGAAAAGGCCAUACCCCUGUUUCUUCGUGUCUUUCUCAGUCAGAGGAUGAGGUGUGGACCCGUUGGGGGCUAUGAUCUAUGAUGAAACUGGUGACGCAAAUUAUGACUUGGUUUACUUAUGUUCCGUGCUCUACCUGUGAACAAUGUGGCAAGCAUCAGGUAGUUUUACAUUUAUGGUUGAAUGGAUAAUAGACCGAUAUGAGGCAAACGGGUCAGUCGCGUAACGGGUAAAAAGACAAACUUUUAUACGGGUAUUAGUUGUGCAAAGAGUGAUCAGUUUCAGCCUUCGGGUUUAUAGAGAUUGAGAUGAGAGAAUAUCACAGACUUUGAUUAAUCAGAUAUCACAUGAGAAAGAAAAUGAUACAUAAGUGUUUUUACGCUGAUAAAGAAGGUUGCAGA
rnacentral:lncRNA from 1 species